AUUGAACGCUGGCGGCAGGCCUAACACAUGCAAGUCGAGCGGAUGAAGGGAGCUUGCUCCUGGAUUCAGCGGCGGACGGGUGAGUAAUGCCUAGGAAUCUGCCUGGUAGUGGGGGAUAACGUUCGGAAACGGGCGCUAAUACCGCAUACGUCCUGAGGGAGAAAGUGGGGGAUCUUCGGACCUCACGCUAUCAGAUGAGCCUAGGUCGGAUUAGCUAGUUGGUGGGGUAAAGGCCUACCAAGGCGACGAUCCGUAACUGGUCUGAGAGGAUGAUCAGUCACACUGGAACUGAGACACGGUCCAGACUCCUACGGGAGGCAGCAGUGGGGAAUAUUGGACAAUGGGCGAAAACCUGAUCCAGCCAUGCCGCGUGUGUGAAGAAGGUCUUCGGAUUGUAAAGCACUUUAAGUUGGGAGGAAGGGCAGUAAGUUAAUACCUUGCUGUUUUGACGUUACCAACAGAAUAAGCACCGGCUAACUUCGUG
rnacentral:rRNA from 1 species